CACUUCAUUCCAAAUAUUUGUUUGCUUUUAAAAAUAUUUUUCCGCAUUAUUUAGGGAAAAAAUAGACUUUGCUUUUCCAGCAGACUUUACUUUUUAAUUAUGCAUAGGUACUAUGGGAACUUUUGGCUGUAGAAUAUGAAGAAAUGGAUUGUACUUCCUUUUUGGGUGAAAAGUGUUUUGUAACAGGUGGGAAAGAGAGAGGCAAAGAAGAAUGGAUCCACCUCAUGGGAGCUUUGUUCAAGGGAGCUGCAAAAGAAGGAGGAGGGAUUUCCUUUGGAAGAAAAGAGGUUUACAACCACGUAACUGCCCCACGCAUCAUAAUCCAUCGACCUAAGCAAUGUUCCAUAUUGUAGUAUCUAGCUUCCGUCUUGCAAAACUGCAGCGACUGCAUAAUCACAGAGUUUCCUGAGAGGACACAAACACUUAGAAGAGUGAGAAGCCUCCAGGAUUACUCCUCUGCCCUCUAGAGAGCACCUAGGAUUACCUCAUACAAGUAUUACAGUUCCCAGGUCAGAAGAUGAAAUCAUUAGGAUGCAAGACUUCAAAGAGAUAUCCACCUGUGCUUGUAGUCGUCUUCACAGACCUCAAGUCAUAUUUUCAACUCACUACAAGUCAGCAAUAUAAUAUUGUGUGUUUGCCUGUAAUAUAUGCUUCUCUGUACCCACAGUUUUAUAACUAUUUGGUAUAAAGUGGAAGGAGGAGGAGGAUAUGGGGAAAUUAAAAUACCAAUAUAGACCUUAUUUCUUUGUUAUUUUCCUCACUGAAUUAAAGUCAACCAUCUCUUAAAUGAUCCCCUUCUUUUCAUCAGGUACGAUGUUCCAUGUGGUGUUCUCUGGUGAUACAAAAGAUUCCUGACAUGUUUCAGGUUCUUUUUCAUAAUUUUCAUUAAAGUAUGGUUAUUAAUAAUAAUUACUAUGCCACCCUUUCAACUCUUUGAAAACUGUAUAUAGUGCACAAGUAUUACUGAAAUGUAACUCCUUCAGGUGUGCUGGCUGUGAGCAAUGUAAUACACAGUAUUUUGUACAACACUGCAAGCAAAUUGUUUCCAAGAAUGCUGCAACAAACACAGUCUCUGAGGAAAAGUACCAGGUGUUUCUAUUUACUUGUGAUACUUGCAUCUCUUCUGAAAGACCCACUUUGAGAAUGAUCAGAGGGAAUCGUAACAGGACUACUUACCAGCUAGAGGAGAGAAAGAUGCAAAAAGUAACAACUGCUUCCAAAAUGGCCACUUAAAAUCUUCAGCUGCUUGGAUCUGCCCAAUUUAAAGGGUCAGCCCCAGAGGGCCUGCUGGGAAAAAGGUCCUGUAAAAGAGUAACCCUUUCUCUCCGACGAGAAAAUGAGUAGGGUCCAUGAAGGAGAAGCUGUUGAACUAUGUAUAUGCCCUCUGUGUCACCCCCGUACAAGCAGAACUCUGUUUAAGCUUGGAUUCAUCAAGGUCUGUCAUUCAGGAGAUUAUAACUAGGGGCUACAGGGAAUCGAAUUGUUUCUAAACUUGAGGCACAGGUCACUGAGCCAUCUCUAUACAAGUCAACAAACACGCUAAGGGAAAAAUCUUCCUGUCCUGCAAAGUUCCCUAGGGCUUUGUUUCAAACACAGGGAUGGCCCUUCUCUAGAGUCUUCCAUGUUUCAAAGAGGGACUGGAGCCAACUGUGCACUACAGCAGUGCCAGCAACAAUGGGUCUGAUUCUCUACUGCUUUACUCCUUGUGUAAUCAUUUACACUGGUACAAAAACCAGUGUAAGAAAACUACCCUCCUGAUUGGAUAGUGUUUUACUCUGAUUUUGCAAAGUAUAAGUGGCUAGACAAUUGUGAUGGUGGUCUGGGGACAAUCGGACCAGAUGUUUCUGUUAGGAUAUAGAUAUUCAGGCCUGUCUGCAAAGGCCUAUACUUUAGGAGUGUAGGUACAUGUUUAUCAUUUAGCUAGUUAUAGAGGUAUAAAAGAAA